ensembl:lncRNA
CGAAUAUACCACAGUAUAUACAGUAUUAAAUUAAACUUUUUUUAUUUUAAAAGAUCAAACUGGAUUUUUGGCAUGUGUCAAAUUUCUGAACAUCAGUUGUGUGUAUAAGCUGACAGUCUGUCAGAGUCCUCAACUCUGUCAGCAUCUAAUCUGAUGCCAUUUUGAUUUAAAACCACAUCUUUUGAAUAUCCCCUCUCUGUUUCCACUCAUUUACUUUUCCGUUUCUAGAAACACUCCAGUAAAUGUUUGGAUGUUAAUCUUAUACACAUGCACACACACGGCAGUGAUUCGUUUUCUUUUUUGUUUUUUGGGGGGUUUUUUGCAUCAAGAGCACAAACACUAACGCUUAACCCGUGGGGAUAUUCUUAGCAGCUUUUGUACACCUUUUCGUCACAAGUAGUGCAAUUAUACGCUGUAGCUCAAGAGGGUUGUGCAUUUUAUUAUGUCCAUUUACUCUGAUUUUAAGGUGCAUAACAAAGUUUGUUUUUAUUCUCUUUCUUAAUUAAGUCUUGCAGCAGGUGCCUCUUUCUAAGCCGUAACAAGUCCUUAGUUGCCAUCCGUCCACUCACUGUGUUCUUUUGCAGUCAGCUGUGGCUGGAAAUGUAAUCGUACUGAAACUAAAUCUAAUGUUGUCAGAUCAACAUCACGUACAAGUCCCAUCGAGUUUGAUGACUUACAGUGUAAGUGCAAGUGAAACUAACAUAGUGUUGGUUGUGUUUUAUUGUUAGGGUUGAAGUCAUCGUAAGCUGAAGUCACAUGAACAUUUCAGGGAAAGAAAAAGAGCAAAUGAACCAUAAUCAUGCUUUUGUUUUUUGUUUUUUUCCACACACUGUGCUUUGCUUCAUUCUGUCUGUGCGGCUCCUGGAUCUACAUUGUAUCCUGUUCAGAGUGAAAGCAGCAGUUCCUCCUUAAGGUCAGAGAUUGCAGCAUCUGAGGGCCUCUUCAAAAGAAGACGUAGUUGAUGAAGGCGUUCUGGAGCAGGACCAGAAAGACCAUGACCAAGCAGCCUUGAGAUCUUAGGCAGCGUCUCCCUCGGGUUUCCCAGAGACUAUGGGUUGAGGAGGAAUUGGAAGUUUGUCGGCUUAGACCUGGUGUCAUUCCAUCAGUGUUAAACUUCCCGGCUCAUCUUGGAAGAGUACGUGCCAGAAAGACCACGACCAAGCAGCCUUGAGAUCUUAGGCAGCGUCUCCCUCAGACCAAAGAACUACAGACUCUUCACAACCAGCUCAAACUCUUGGUACAGGACCUCACCACACGGGUCAAGAAGGUUUCUGUCUCAUUUCUACUCUGAAGCUCACCUUCUCCUGCUCAAACUGCUGACAAAUGUUUCUGCUGCUCUAAAGUCUGGUCUCCAGAACUUCCUAAAAACUCUCAAAGUCUCUUCUGCUGCAGGUUGCUUUGUAGAACUGUUGCAGAAAACCUCACUAAACCACAUGGAGGGGCCUCAAGAUAGUCGUCCAAAUGAAACCAUACAAAAACCAAACUAGCACAACCCAAACGCUAAAGUCUCCUGCAGCCUACCAGAGAACCUCUGAGAACAGAGAAUCAGGACAGGAACUCUUACCUUCUGGACAACCACCCUUGGUUCACAAACAAGAAUACAGAAUGUGUCUGACCAAAAACCUCUGAAGACUCACUACAGCCAAGAUAAAGACACAACUCAGCUGCACCAAAUCCACUAAUCACUGCACACAUUAGCACCAUGUGCUAACUGUGGCUGAAGAACCUCAUUUACCAAGACAGCUAUCCAGUACAAAGCCCUAAAACACACCAAGAAACACAUUAAAGAUGAUUUUACUGCUGGAAGCUGCAAGCCAACGCCUAAAGAACAAAUUAAAGCAACGGAGCCAAACCCGGUUCACUGGUGAAGAGAAACAGAGGAAAUGUUUGCUGCAGCUAAAUAAAGCAGGAAGACACUGAGCUGCUCAGGUGUUCCUGAUAACACCAAGCAGCCACCUGGACAGCCAAUAGGAACACAGCUUACUGGAAGUCCAGAGGGCUGGGUUAGUGAAGUAAAUUUAGUUUAAAGGUGAAGCAGAAAGUUAACAAAGAAAGAUGAAAACCACAUUCUGAUACCUGAAAUCUCUGAGUUUUCACACAAAGAACACCUGAACAUGUCAAAAUGGUUUCAUAGUAGAACCAUCAUUGUAAAAACAUCAUAGUAUGGUGUGUUGCUCAAAAAACAUUACAACCUGGUUGUCUAGGGUCACCGAGGAGCAACACAAAAACAGGACAAACGCUGGUUUCCAGGGGGUUAGGCAGCUAUUUAUUUGAAAGAGUAAGUUUACAACAACACAACAUGUGAGCAGAAAAAUCACAAAGUCUGUCUUUAGUUCAGCUGAAAAUAUUAGUUUUUGUCUUUUUUAUUGACCAAACUUUUCAGGAAGUAGAUGAAGAAUAAUUAAAGCUCUCAUGUAGAAGUCCAACUUAUU